CCUGGCUCAGAACGAACGCUGGCGGCGCGUCUUAAGCAUGCAAGUCGAACGGCAACCUACCUCGGGUAGGCUAGAGUGGCGGACUGGUGAGUAACGCGUGGGUGACCUGCCCUCGAGAUGGGGAUAGCCAUUAGAAAUAGUGGAUAAUACCGAAUACGCUUUUUUAACUGUGGUUGAAAAAGGAAAGGAGCUUAGGCUCCACUCGAGGAUGGGCCCGCGUCCCAUUAGCUAGUUGGUGAGGUAAAAGCCCACCAAGGCGGUGAUGGGUAUCCGGCCUGAGAGGGUGAUCGGACACACUGGGACUGAGAUACGGCCCAAACUCCUACGGGAGGCAGCAGCUAAGAAUAUUCCGCAAUGGACGAAAGUCUGACGGAGCGACGCCGCGUGAAUGAUGAAGGCCGAAAGGUUGUAAAGUUCUUUUGUUGAUGAAGAAUAAUCGUUGUAGGGAAUGACAGCGAGAUGACGGUAAUCGAUGAAUAAGCCCCGGCUAACUACGUGCCAGCCGCCGC
rnacentral:rRNA from 1 species